rnacentral:rRNA from 1 species
AUUGAACGCUGGCGGCAGGCCUAACACAUGCAAGUCGAGCGGAUGAAGGGAGCUUGCUCCUGGAUUCAGCGGCGGACGGGUGAGUAAUGCCUAGGAAUCUGCCUGGUAGUGGGGGAUAACGUCCGGAAACGGGCGCUAAUACCGCAUACGUCCUGAGGGAGAAAGUGGGGGAUCUUCGGACCUCACGCUAUCAGAUGAGCCUAGGUCGGAUUAGCUAGUUGGUGGGGUAAAGGCCUACCAAGGCGACGAUCCGUAACUGGUCUGAGAGGAUGAUCAGUCACACCGGAACUGAGACACGGUCCAGACUCCUACGGGAGGCAGCAGUGGGGAAUAUUGGACAAUGGGCGAAAGCCUGAUCCAGUCAUGCCGCGUGUGUGAAGAAGGUCUUCGGAUUGUAAAGCACUUUAAGUUGGGAGGAAGGGCAGUAAGUUAAUACCUUGCUGUUUUGACGUUACCAACAGAAUAAGCACCGGCUAACUUCGUG